rnacentral:rRNA from 1 species
ACGACUCUCGGCAACGGAUAUCUCGGCUCUCGCAUCGAUGAAGAACGUAGCAAAAUGCGAUACCUGGUGUGAAUUGCAGAAUCCCGCGAACCAUCGAGUUUUUGAACGCAAGUUGCGCCCGAAGCCUUCUGGCGGAGGGCACGUCUGCCUGGGCGUCACGCCAAAAGACACUCCCAACACCCCCCCCACGGGGCGAGGGACGUGGCGUCUGGCCCCCCGCGCCGCAGGGCGAGGUGGGCCGAAGAAGGGGCUGCCGGCGAACCGCGCCGGGCGCAGCACGUGGUGGGCGACAUCAAGUUGUUCUCGGUGCAGCGUCCCAACGCGCGGCCGGCCAUUCGGCCCUAAGGACCCAUCGAGCGACCGAGCUUGCCCUCGGACCGCGACCCCAGGUCAGUCGGGACUACCCGCUGAGUUUAAGCAUAUAAAUAAGCGGAGGAAAAGAAACUUACGAGGAUUCCCCUAGUAACGGCGAGCGAACCAGGAGCAGCCCAGCUUGAGAAUCGGGCGGCCUCGCCGCCCGAAUUGUAGUCUGGGGAGGCGUCCUCAGCGACGGACCGGGCCCAAGUUCUCUGGAAAGGGACGCCUGGGAGGGUGAGAGCCCCGUCCGGCCCGGACCCUGUCGCACCACGAGGCGCCGUCAACGAGUCGGGUUGUUUGGGAAUGCAGCCCAAAUCGGGCGGUAAACUCCGUCCAAGGCUAAAUACAGGCGAGAGACCGAUAGAGAACAAGUACCGCGAGGGAAAGAUGAAAAGGACUUUGAAAAGAGAGUCAAAGAGUGCUUGAAAUUGCCGGGAGGGAAGCGGAUGGGGGCUGGCGACGCGCACCGGCCGUAUGCGGAACGGCUCCUGCUGGUCCGCCGAUCGGCUCGAGGCGUGGACCGUUGUCGCCCACGCCGGCGGCCAAAGCCCGGGGGCCCUAGGCGCCCCCGGCAGCCGUCGUCGGCACGGACGGUAUCCGCGCGCCUCUGGCGCGCCCCUCGGGGCGCUGCGCUGCAAUGGCCUGCGAGCUCCCCAUCCGACCCGUCUUGAAACACGGACCAAUGAGUCUGACAUGCGUGCGAGUCGACGGGUUCAGAAACCUGAGAUGCGCAAGGAAGCUGACGAGCGGGAGGCCCUCACGAGCCGCACCGCUGGCCGACCCUGAUCUUCUGUGAAGGGUUCGAGUUGGAGCACGCAUGUCGGGACCCGAAAGAUGGUGAACUAUGCCUGAGCGGGGCGAAGCCAGAGGAAACUCUGGUGGAGGCUCGAAGCGAUACUGACGUGCAAAUCGUUUGUCUGACUUGGGUAUAGGGGCGAAAGACUAAUCGAACCAUCUAGUAGCUGGUUCCCUCCGAAGUUUCCCUUAGGAUAGCUGGAGCCCACACGAGUUCUAUCGGGUAAAGCCAAUGAUUAGAGGCAUCGGGGGCGCAACGCCCUCGACCUAUUCUCAAACUUUAAAUAGGUAGGACGGCGCGGCUGCUUCGGUGAGCCAUGCCACGGAAUCAGGAGCUCCAAGUGGGCCAUUUUUGGUAAGCAGAACUGGCGAUGCGGGAUGAACCGGAAGCCAGGUUACGGUGCCAAACUGCGUGCUAACCUAGAACCCACAAAGGGUGUUGGUCGAUUAAGACAGCAGGACGGUGGUCAUGGAAGUCGAAAUCCGCUAAGGAGUGUGUAACAACUCACCUGCCGAAUCAACUAGCCCCGAAAAUGGAUGGCGCUGAAGCGCGCGACCCACACCCGGCCAUCUGGGCGAGUGACAUGCCCCGAUGGGUAGGAGGGCGCGGCGGCCGCCGCAAAACCCGGGGCGCGAGCCCGGGCGGAGCAGCCGUCGGUGCAGAUCUUGGUGGUUGUAGCAAAUAUUCAAAUGAGAACUUUGAAGGCCGAAGAGGAGAAAGGUUCCAUGUGAACGACACUUGCACAUGGGUAAGCCGAUCCUAAGGGACGGGGGAAACCCGGCAGAUAGCGCGAUCACGCACGUCACCCGAAAGGGAAUCGGGUUAAGAUUUCCCGAGCCGGGACGUGGCGGCAGACAGCGACGUUAGGAAGUCCGGAGACGCCGGCGGGGGCCUCGGGAAGAGUUAUCUUUUCUGCUUAACGGCCCGCCAACCCUGGAAUCGGUUCAGCCGGAGGUAGGGUCCAGUGGCCGGAAGAGCACCGCACAUCGCGCGGUGUCCGGUGCGCCCCCAGCGGCCCUUGAAAAUCUGGAGGACCGAAUACCGUCCACGCCCGGUCGUACUCAUAACCGCAUCAGGUCUCCAAGGUGAACAGCCUCUGGCCAAUGGAACAAUGUAGGCAAGGGAAGUCGGCAAAACAGAUCCAUAACUUCGGGAAAAGGAUUGGCUCUGAGGGUUGGGCUCGGGGGUCCCGACCCCGAACCCGUCGGCUGCUGGCGGAAUGCUCGAGCUGCUCGCACGGCGAGAGCGGGCCGCCGCGUGCCGGCCGGGGGACGGACCGGGAACGGCCCCCUCGGGGGCAUUCCACGGGCGUCGAACAACCGACUCAGAACUGGUACGGACAAGGGGAAUCCGACUGUUUAAUUAAAACAAAGCAUUGCGACGGUCCUCGAGUGUCACACCCGGAUUUUAGGGUCCAAAACCCGGGCGCGAACAUAAUCACCAGGUGUGCUGGGACCAAGUCUCACACAUAUGAUGAAUCAUGGCACAGGAUCGAAUGUCACAUCUUUACUACAUAAUAGGCGUUUUACACAAAAUAAAUAAAUAUUUACAUCAUAAUGAGACAACGGUCCAACAACCCAAAGUUGACUGGGAGACGACGACCUAGACCUCUCACGAACUCGUCACAGCAUCCUCCAUGCGCCACAUCCUGCGGUACCUGUUCUUGACCUGUGGGGGGGGUGUGAGACAGCAAGAGUGAGCUCACAUACGUUCAUCGCUCAACAAGUUGUGGGGAAUAAUGUGCAUGAACUCGCCAAAGGUGGGAGCUCACGUGAAGUGUAAGGCUUACCAAAGAGGAUGGUUAGAGCUGAGCAUUGCUUUUAAAGUUGGUCAAAAUUUUAUUAGCAAUUACUAAGUAUAAGUAAAUACCAACCCAAUUAAAUAGUAGAACAAAAGUAACAACCUCACCUGCGAUGCAAUGCAUAUGACAAAUUGAGUUUAAGUUCCAUAAUUUAAUCAUGUGAGUGUCUGAGCCGCUCAUGACCGUGAGCACGGCUAGUAUACCAGUUUUACACUCUGCAGAGGUUGCGCAUCUUUACCCACAAGUCGUGUUACCCAUUUGCCACAGAGUUGAUCAGACUCCAUACACCUCUACCAAGGAAGCGAGGCAGGGUACCACU